GACGAACGCUGGCGGCGUGCCUAAUACAUGCAAGUCGAACGAAGCUGUUUUAACUGGUGCUUGCACCGACUUAAACAUCGGAAUGAGUGGCGGACGGGUGAGUAACACGUGGGUAACCUGCCCAGAAGUGGGGGAUAACAUUUGGAAACAGAUGCUAAUACCGCAUAAUAGACAGAACCACAUGGUUCUAUUUUGAAAGAUGGCCUUUGUGCUAUCACUUUGGGAUGGACCCGCGGCGUAUUAGCUAGUUGGUAAGGUAAUGGCUGACCAAGGCAAGGAUAAGUAGCCGAACUGAGAGGUUGAUCGGCAACAUUGGGACUGAGACACGGCCCAAACUCCUACGGGAGGCAGCAGUAGGGAAUCUUCCACAAUGGACGAAAGUCUGAUGGAGCAACGCCGCGUGAGUGAAGAAGGUUUUCGGAUCGUAAAACUCUGUUGUCAGAGAAGAACGUGUGCGAGAGUAACUGCUCGUGCAGUGACGGUAUCUGGCCAGAAAGCCACGGCUAACUACGUGCCAGCCGCCGCGGUAA
rnacentral:rRNA from 1 species